rnacentral:rRNA from 1 species
CACGUAGGGGACGAGCGUUGUCCGGAAUUAUUGGGCGUAAAGAGCUCGUAGGCGGUUUGUUGCGUCGGCUGUGAAAUCCCGAGGCUCAACCUCGGGUCUGCAGUCGAUACGAGCAAACUAGAGUGUUGCAGGGGAGACUGGAAUUCCUGGUGUAGCGGUGAAAUGCGCAGAUAUCAGGAGGAACACCGGUGGCGUAGGCGGGUCUCUGGGCAACAACUGACGCUGAGGAGCGAAAGCGUGGGGAGCGAACAGG